UUGCCCAUGAGAAUGGGCAGCUUUCCUGGUCAUUGUUAUCAUUAUUUUCAUGGUUUGAUGAGCGUACAAUUUUGUCUAGGGAUCCUUUAUUCCGCGAUGCAAUCUUGACGCCUGUAACAUCAGUAUAGAAAGCAACAAGAGAACCCAAUGUCCGGGAGCCAUGGUACCGAUCAUGCAUAGUAGAAUUUAAAAGGAAUAGAGUUGGAAAUCCAUGGACUCC
rnacentral:misc_RNA from 1 species